CGGUGCACCAGUGAGUCGUGAAUACUCGUGAUUGUGCGCCAGGAUAAGAAAGCAAACGUUCGUCUUUGCAGCAGGAGGUUAUUUGAUUUUGGGUUUUUUAUUUAACCGAUCUGAACCGACCGAAUCUCUUUUUAGGACCGAAUUUUACAAUAGACCAGUGAUAACGGGGUCAAAUGCGAAAUCAAGUAGUAGUAAUUGGGGUUUAGGGUUUUAGGUACGAAUGGAAUCCAAGAAAUUCGAAGCUAAGCUGCUUCUAAAGGAUAAACGGUUCUGGUUCGCCUCUGCCCUUAUUGUUUGGGCCGCUGCUCUCCAGGGACAUAUGAUGUGGUUACGGAGGCAAGAUUCUUUCAAGCAGAAGUUUGGAAAUGUAGAGCAGGACAAAGAUCAAAGCAGGAAUUAGCUGAAAAUCAUCACUAGUUGAAUCAUUUGCUCAAAUUACUGUCUUUGUUACUUGUGAGUUCAAAUGUGAUGCUUUUUUAUGUCCCUAGAUGCUCAUAUUCAAGUUAAUAAUAGUGAAAAUAUUCUAAGAAUUGUGCAUUGACCGAGCCCUGUUACUUAUUAUGAUUUAUUACGAGUAAAUUUCUGUUUAGUUCUAGCUUAUGCUUUGCCUGGUUGUAAGGUGGAUGUGAUGAUUAUAUUGUUUAUCUUAGGUGUGCUGUUAAUUCA